rnacentral:rRNA from 1 species
UACGUAGGUGACCAGCGUUGUCCGGAUUUACUGGGCGUAAAGGGCGCGUAGGCGGCCACCGCAAGUCGACUGUGAAAUCUCCGGGCUUAACCCGGAACGGUCAGCCGAUACUGCGGGGCUAGAGUGCAGAAGGGGCAACUGGAAUUCUCGGUGUAGCGGUGAAAUGCGUAGAUAUCGAGAGGAACACCUGCGGCGAAGGCGGGUUGCUGGGCUGACACUGACGCUGAGGCGCGAAAGCUAGGGGAGCGAACGGG